rnacentral:rRNA from 1 species
CGCUCUUUGUUAUUAGAUUUAGAGAUAAAGAGUCGGGCCUGCUCAAUGAUUGUUAAAAAUUAAAUAGCCGCGGUACCCUGACCGUGCAAAGGUAGCAUAAUCAUUUGCCUUAUAAUUGAGGGCUGGAAUGAAUGGUUUGACGAAAGCCUAACUGUCUUUUUAUUUUUGAUUAUAAAUUAAUUUUUAAGUGAAGAAGCUUAAAUUGGGAAAAGGGACGAGAAGACCCUAUUGAGUUUGAAUUUAUAAUUUUUAGAUUUGUAUUAUAUUAUAUAAAGUUAUUGUAAUUGUUAAAUUUUAGUUGGGGCAACUGAGGAAUAGAUAGAACUUCCUUGAUUAUAUAUGUUGAAAUUAUUGUUAUUGAUCCAUUGGAAUAAAUAAUGAUUAGUAGAUAUAAUUACCAUAGGGAUAACAGCGUAAUUUUUUCUGAGAGCUCUAAUCGAAGAAGAAGAUUGCGACCUCGAUGUUGGAUUAAGGGAUUCUUAGAGGAGUAAAAAUUUCUAAAGUAAGUCUGUUCGACUUUUAAAACCUU